AAUGAACGUUGGCGGCGUGGAUUAGGCAUGCAAGUCGCGCGAUAAAUCCCAGCAAUGGGAUGGAAAGCGGCGAAAGGGACAGUAAUGCGUAGAUAACCUACCCUCGGGCUCGGGAUAGCUGCGGGAAACUGCAAUUAAUACCGAAUAACGUCUCCGGACCAAAGGUGCGAUUCCGCCGGAGGAUGGGUCUGCGUCCUAUUAGCUAGUUGGCGUGGUAACGGCACACCAAGGCAAAGAUGGGUAGCAGGUGUGAGAGCACGACCUGCGUCACUGGGACUGGGACACUGCCCAGACCCCUACGGGUGGCUGCAGUCGAGGAUCUUCGGCAAUGGGCGCAAGCCUGACCGAGCGACGCCGCGUGCGGGAUGAAGGCCUUCGGGUUGUAAACCGCUGUCAGAGAGGCGGAAAGCCCGAAAGGGUCUGACCUAUCCCUGGAGGAAGCACGGGCUAAGUUCGUGCCAGCCGCCGCAGUAACAC
rnacentral:rRNA from 1 species